UCUUUUGUCUGGACACCUAGAGAAAGUGUUGUCACCUGCAAAUACUGAUAUGGCUGUUUAACACUUUUCCAAACAAUCUAUCUUAUUAAUUGCAGCUUCAGAAAUAGCUCAGCAAUAUUUCAUUAUGAGUUUCAAAUUUAGGAAAACAUCAGCUAUGCUUCUAAGAGAUCUCCUGGAGGGAUGCCAUCAGUCAGUUUAAGAGCUGUCCUCUCUGAGACAAGGAGCUACCCUGGUGUUUCUGACAUCUCUUGCAGGUGUGUGUCUGACCAAAGCUCUCCCUUGGCUCCUGUCAAAGUUUUGCUCACUCUAGAUCUAAGUAAUGCCCUGGGACAUGUAAACACUGUGCCAGCAAUCCAGUUGCACUUUGGUUUAAGGUGAAGACUGUUUUUCUGUCUAGGCUCUCCUCAUGUACCUCCCCUAAUGUCUAACAGACUUAAACCCUCUCCUGUACACCAUCUGCCCACAUACCCACUGGUUCUUUGCUGGAUACCUGGUGUGACUUGU